ensembl:ncRNA M79.6 ncRNA
CCGAAAAACAAAUAUACCUGCUCUGGCUGCCACGGAAAGUCGAGCUGUCACUGUUCGGCGGUCGAAAUGUGUCAAAUGUUGGACGGAACAUCUAAAAUCAGU